UAAUAUUUAUUUUAAAGGAAUAUCUACAAUGUAUUUUUUUUAUUAAGAUUUCUAUCCCAUGGAUUGUGAAGUGGUUCGUGGAGGUAAAACCAAAUCUCAAUAACUUGCAAUAUUUGCGACUAUUAGCCUUUGGUUUCCUAUUUGGGCAAGGAUAUUUCCUCUACGUCUACCUGAUCUUCCUCUGCCCCUGCCUCUAUUAGAGGAUGUUGAAGACUGAGAUGCCAUCUUGUAUAACAUAAAAGGCGUUAGUUCAGAUAUUCUCUAGUAAGAAAGUUGGGAGGACAAUUAUCAGAUCCCUUUAAAUAUUAAAUUUCAAAAUCAAACGGAG
rnacentral:lncRNA from 1 species